rnacentral:rRNA from 1 species
UGGGGGAUAUUGCACAAUGGGCGAAAGCCUGAUGCAGCGACGCCGCGUGAGGGAAGAAGGUCUUCGGAUUGUAAACCUUUGUCUUCAAGGACGAUAGUGACGGUACUUGAGGAGGAAGCCACGGCUAACUACGUGCCAGCAGCCGCGGUAAUACGUAGGUGGCAAGCGUUAUCCGGAAUUACUGGGUGUAAAGGGAGCGUAGGCGGGCAGGCAAGUCAGAUGUGAAAUACCGAGGCUCAACCUCGGAGCUGCAUUUGAAACUGUUUGUCUUGAGUGGUGUAGAGGUAAGCGGAAUUCCUAGUGUAGCGGUGAAAUGCGUAGAUAUUAGGAGGAACACCAGUGGCGAAGGCGGCUUACUGGGCACUUACUGACGCUGAGGCUCGAAAGUGUGGGGAGCAAACAGG